rnacentral:sRNA from 1 species
UACGUGGAGGCGGGACGGCCGACUGACAGGCGGCCAAAGGCUGCUGUGCGCUGGGCUGGCGGGGACGCUCAGCCUCAGCCUCACCGCGCCCCUGGAGCUCGCCACCGUGCUGGCCCAGGUUGGCGUCGUGCGAGGCCACGCCCGGGGACCGUGGGCCACAGGGCACCGGGUGUGGCGGGCAGAGGGGCUCCGGGCCCUGUGGAAGGGGAACGCGGUGGCGUGCCUGCGCCUCUUCCCUUGCAGCGCGGUGCAGCUCGCCGCCUACCGCAAGUGCUCUCCCGUUCUCUGCUGGCUCCCUUCUUGUUUACAUGAACCUGGAGAAAAUCUGGAACGGACCCCGAGAUCAGUUCUCUCUCCCACAGAACUUUGCUAAUGUCUGUCUGGCUGCUGCAGUGACCCAGACCCUCUCCUUUCCCUUUGAGACCAUGAAGAGAAAGAUGCAGGCUCAGAGCCCCUACCUCCCACACAAUGGAGGAGUAGAUGUCCAUUUCUCAGGAGCAGUGGACUGCUUCCGGCAGAUAGUGAAGGCCCAGGGGGUCCUGGGGCUCUGGAAUGGAUUGACAGCCAAUUUACUGAAGAUAGUUCCAUAUUUUGGAAUUAUGUUUAGCACCUUUGAGUUCUGCAAGAGAAUCUGUCUUUAUCAAAAUGGUUACAUUCUGUCUCCACUGAGCUAUAAAUUGACCCCAGGAGUCGAUCAGAGUUUGCAGCCCCAGGAAUUACGAGAAUUAAAGAAGUUCUUCAAAACGAGAAAACUGAAGCCUAAAAAACCAACUCUAUAAAAUGGAAUGGAACUAGAAGUGCACUGACUGACAGCGUGUUGCAAUCACAGAUAAAUGUAGCCUCAUAAUUGUGUACCUGAGGAGGGAUGAGAAGCUACUGCUAUCUGCUGCUCUGGG